GACGAACGCUGGCGGCAGGCUUAACACAUGCAAGUCGAACGCAUCCUUCGGGGUGAGUGGCAGACGGGUGAGUAACGCGUGGGAACGUGCCCUUCAGUUCGGGAUAACCCAGGGAAACUUGGGCUAAUACCGGAUACGUGCGAGAGCAGAAAGAUUUAUCGCUGAAGGAUCGGCCCGCGUCUGAUUAGCUAGUUGGUGGGGUAAUGGCCCACCAAGGCGACGAUCAGUAGCUGGUCUGAGAGGAUGAUCAGCCACAUUGGGACUGAGACACGGCCCAAACUCCUACGGGAGGCAGCAGUGGGGAAUAUUGGAUAAUGGGCGCAAGCCUGAUCCAGCCAUGCCGCGUGAGUGAUGAAGGCCUUAGGGUUGUAAAGCUCUUUCGUCCGGGACGAUAAUGACGGUACCGGAAGAAGAAGCCCCGGCUAACUUCGUGCCAGCCGCCGCCGUAAAAC
rnacentral:rRNA from 1 species